GAUGAACGCUGGCGGCGUGCCUAAUACAUGCAAGUCGAGGGAACAGACGAGGAGCUUGCUCCUCUGACGUUAGCGGCGGACGGGUGAGUAACACGUGGAUAACCUACCUAUAAGACUGGGAUAACUUCGGGAAACCGGAGCUAAUACCGGAUAAUAUAUUGAACCGCAUGGUUCAAUAGUGAAAGACGGUUUUGCUGUCACUUAUAGAUGGAUCCGCGCCGGAUUAGCUAGUUGGUAAGGUAACGGCUUACCAAGGCAACGAUGCGUAGCUGACCUGAGAGGGUGAUCGGCCACACUGGAACUGAGACACGGUCCAGACUCCUACGGGAGGCAGCAGUAGGGAAUCUUGCGCAAUGGGCGAAAGCCUGAUGGAGCCACGCCGCGUGAGUGAUGAAGGUCUUCGGAUCGUAAAACUCUGUUAUUAGGGAAGAACAGCUGUGGAAGUAACUAUGCACGUCUUGACGGUACCUAAUGAGAAAGCCACGGCUAACUACGUG
rnacentral:rRNA from 1 species